rnacentral:lncRNA from 1 species
AUGGGAUGCCCCAUUAAUCCCUGUGGGAUCCCCCAUGGUCCCAUCCCUUUGGGAUCCCCCAUUAAUCCCUUUGGGAUCCCAAACUCCAUGGUCCUAUUCCAUUGGAUCCCAUUGGGAUCCCAAAAUCCAUGGUCCUAUUCCAUUGGAUCCCAUUGGGAUCCCCCAAAGAUCCUGUUCCAUUGGAUCCCAUUGGGAUCCCCCAAAGAUCCUGUUCCAUUGGAUCCCAUUGGGAUCCCAAAAUUCAUGGUCCUAUUCCAUUGGAUCCCAUUGGGAUCCCCCAUUAAUCCCUUUGGGAUCCCCCAUUAA